rnacentral:rRNA from 1 species
CUCCUACGGGAGGCUGCAGUGGGGAAUAUUGGACAAUGGGGGAAACCCUGAUCCAGCCAUGCCGCGUGUGUGAAGAAGGCCCUCGGGUCGUAAAGCACUUUAAGCGGGGAGGAAGGGGUGAUGGUUAAUAACUGUCAUCAUUGACGUUACCCGCAGAAUAAGCACCGGCUAACUCUGUGCCAGCAGCCGCGGUAAUACAGAGGGUGCGAGCGUUAAUCGGAAUUACUGGGCGUAAAGCGCGCGUAGGCGGUUGUGUAAGUUGGAGGUGAAAUCCCCGGGCUUAACCUGGGCACUGCCUUCAAAACUGCACGGCUAGAGUAUGGGAGAGGAAGGUAGAAUUCCAGGUGUAGCGGUGAAAUGCGUAGAGAUCUGGAGGAAUACCGAUGGCGAAGGCAGCCUUCUGGCCUAAUGCUGACGCUGAGGUGCGAAAGCAUGGGGAGCAAACAGGAUUAGAUACCCUGGUAGUCCAUGCCGUAAACGAUGUCGACUAGGUGUUGGGGAACUUGAUUCCUUAGUGCCGCAGCUAACGCAUUAA